CGCGUAGGAAUCUACCCAUUAGCCUGGGAUAACAGCGGGAAACUGCUGCUAAUACCGGAUACGCCCUUCGGGGGAAAGGUUUACUACUAAUGGAUGAGCCUGCGUUAGAUUAGCUAGUUGGUGAGGUAAUGGCUCACCAAGGCUCCGAUCUAUAGCCGGUCUGAGAGGACGAUCGGCCACACUGGGACUGAGACACGGCCCAGACUCCUACGGGAGGCAGCAGUGGGGAAUAUUGGGCAAUGGACGCAAGUCUGACCCAGCCAUGCCGCGUGUGUGAUGAAGGCCUUAGGGUUGUAAAGCACUUUUAGUAGUGAAGAUGAUGACAGUAGCUACAGAAAAAGCCCCGGCUAACUUCGUG
rnacentral:rRNA from 1 species